AAUUUUUCUCGAAACAGAAGGAGAUACGAGAAGCGAGUGGUUGACGCCACUUUAUAUAGUGACUCUCCAACGAGAUGGCCUACGUUUCAGAACUUGGCAGACGGAAAUGCGGGUAGUGAUUCGGAGAACGCUGUGCCAGGAGUUUCAGAUUAGUCAACAGACUAUACCGCACCAUCUUCAGAAUCACUUUCAAUAAACAAUGUAAGUGACUUGAAAGAAAAUCAUAUAUACGGAAAAGAAAAGGGCUGUAAAUCAAUUCCAAAAAAAGCUUCUAAAUAAACGUGAACCAGAAAAGAAACGACGAAAAGAAAAAUAAUUGCACGGCUUUGUAUAUCUUGCGAGAAGUUUAUUGUAAAGCUUUAAGACAUCUCUGUAUAAUUCAUAAAGAUGAACCGGCAGUGAGCACAUAAUUUUGUCUCUCAUCAACAACUUAAUCUAGUGGGCAUAUCCACAUUCGUAUACAUACUUGGCAUACAUUUUUACUAUUUAAUUAUAAAUUCAAAAUAACAAUCAUGUUUUUGUAUUCCGAGUUGGUGCAAAAAUUUUAAAUAAAUUGUGCAAAGAUUCUAAAUUGAUAUCGGGGUUGAAUAAUUUCAUGUUGAUCGCUUGUAUAGUUGACUGUAUAAUCACUGCUAUACUUAAGCGCGCCUUGAUAGGUAGACAUUUGAGUUAUAAUUGGUG